GAUGAAGAACGCAGCGAAAUGCGAUACUUGGUGUGAAUUGCAGAAUCCCGUGAACCAUCGAGUCUUUGAACGCAAGUUGCGCCCGAAGCCACUAGGCCGAGGGCACGCCUGCCUGGGCGUCACACGUCGUUGCCCCCCCCCCAUCUACUCCUUCGGGAUUGCGGGGGGCGGAUGAUGGCCUCCCGUGCGCCUAGCCGCGCGGUUGGCAUAAAUACCAAGUCCUCGGCGACGCACGCCACGACAAUCGGUGGUUGCGAAACCUCGGUUGCCCGUCGUGUGCGUUCGUCGCGCAUCGAGGGCUCGAAAAAAUGCUCGGCUCCGGCUCGGCUUUCAACGCGACCCCAGGUCAGGCGGGGUUACCCGCUGAAUUUAAGCAUAUCAAUAAGCGAGGA
rnacentral:misc_RNA from 1 species